AACGAACGCUGGCGGCAUGCCUAACACAUGCAAGUCGAACGAGACCUUCGGGUCUAGUGGCGCACGGGUGCGUAACGCGUGGGAAUCUGCCCUUGGGUUCGGAAUAACAGUUAGAAAUUACUGCUAAUACCAGAUGAUGACUUCGGUCCAAAGAUUUAUCGCCCAAGGAUGAGCCCGCGUAGGAUUAGCUAGUUGGUAGGGUAAAGGCCUACAAAGGCGACGAUCCAUAGCUGGUCUGAGAGGAUGAUCAGCCACACUGGGACUGAGACACGGCCCAGACUCCUACGGGAGGCAGCAGUGGGGAAUAUUGGACAAUGGGCGAAAGCCUGAUCCAGCAAUGCCGCGUGAGUGAUGAAGGCCCUAGGGUUGUAAAGCUCUUUUACCCGGGAUGAUAAUGACAGUACCGGGAGAAUAAGCCCCGGCUAACUCCGUGCCAGCAGCCGCCGCUGUAA
rnacentral:rRNA from 1 species